rnacentral:rRNA from 1 species
UACGUAGGUGGCAAGCGUUGUCCGGAUUUAUUGGGUUUAAAGGGUGCGUAGGCGGUCUUAUAAGUCAGUGCUGAAAUAUCCCGGCUUAACCGGGAGGGUGGCAUUGAUACUGUAGGACUUGAGUAAAGUUGAGGUUGGCGGAAUUGACGGUGUAGCGGUGAAAUGCUUAGAUAUCGUCAAGAACACCUAUUGCGUAGGCAGCUAACUAAGCUUUAACUGACGCUGAGGCACGAAAGUGUGGGGAUCAAACAGG